rnacentral:rRNA from 1 species
CCUACGGGAGGCAGCAGUAGGGAAUCUUUCACAAUGGGCGAAAGCCUGAUGGAGCAACGCCGCGUGCAGGAUGAAGGCCUUCGGGUUGUAAACUGCUUUUAUAAGCGAGAAAUAUGAUGUAACUUAUGAAUUAGGAUCGGCUAACUACGUGCCAGCAGCCGCGGUCAUACGUAGGAUCCGAGCAUUAUCCGGAGUGACUGGGUGUAAAGAGUUGCGUAGGUGGCAUAAUAAGUAGCUAGUGAAAUCUGGUGGCUCAACCAUUCAGACGAUUAGCUAAACUGUUAAGCUCGAGACCGUUAGGGGUAACUGGAAUGUCUAGUGUAGGAGUGAAAUCCGUAGAUAUUAGAAGGAACACCAAUAGCGUAGGCAGGUUGCUGGGACGGUUCUGACACUAAGGCACGAAAGCGUAGGGAGCAAACGGGAUUAGAUACCCGUGUAGUC